AAACAAAAUAUUAAAUAUAAACUGGACAAUAUAUAUUUAUUCAUUUGUGUUUUGGGAGGUUUUGUUCAAAGCAAUAGUCAAAAAUCAGAUGAUCUGUCCAUAAAUAAUUAUGUCUCUCCAUUUUUCAGAGGUCCCAUACCCAU